AGUGAACGCUGGCGGUAGGCCUAACACAUGCAAGUCGAACGGCAGCACAGUAAGAGCUUGCUCUUACGGGUGGCGAGUGGCGGACGGGUGAGGAAUACAUCGGAAUCUACUUUUUCGUGGGGGAUAACGUAGGGAAACUUACGCUAAUACCGCAUACGACCUACGGGUGAAAGCAGGGGAUCUUCGGACCUUGCGCAAUUGAAUGAGCCGAUGUCGGAUUAGCUAGUUGGCGGGGUAAAGGCCCACCAAGGCGACGAUCCGUAGCUGGUCUGAGAGGAUGAUCAGCCACACUGGAACUGAGACACGGUCCAGACUCCUACGGGAGGCAGCAGUGGGGAAUAUUGGACGAUGGGCGCAAGCCUGAUCCAGCCAUACCGCGUGGGUGAAGAAGGCCUUCGGGUGGUAAAGCCCUUUUGUUGGGAAAGAAAAGCAGCAGGUUAAUACCCCGCUGUUCUGACGGUACCCAAAGAAUAAGCACCGGCUAACUUCGUG
rnacentral:rRNA from 1 species